GAUGAACGCUGGCGGCGUGCCUAAUACAUGCAAGUCGAGCGAAUGGAUUAAGAGCUUGCUCUUAUGAAGUUAGCGGCGGACGGGUGAGUAACACGUGGGUAACCUGCCCAUAAGACUGGGAUAACUCCGGGAAACCGGGGCUAAUACCGGAUAACAUUUUGAACCGCAUGGUUCGAAAUUGAAAGGCGGCUUCGGCUGUCACUUAUGGAUGGACCCGCGUCGCAUUAGCUAGUUGGUGAGGUAACGGCUCACCAAGGCAACGAUGCGUAGCCGACCUGAGAGGGUGAGCGGCCACACUGGGACUGAGCCACGGCCCAGACUCCUAUGGGAGGCAGCAGUAGGGAAUCUUCCGCAAUGGACGAAAGUCUGACGGAGCAACGCCGCGUGAGUGAUGAAGGCUUUCGGGUCGUAAAACUCUGUUGUUAGGGAAGAACAAGUGCUAGUUGAAUAAGCUGGCACCUUGACGGUACCUAACCAGAAAGCCACGGCUAACUACGUGCCAGCCGCCGCAGUAA
rnacentral:rRNA from 1 species